UAAAGCUUAUUAAUACGUGUAAUAACUGAAGUGCAUUAAAGUUUAUUGUCCGAAGUGUACCACAUCUCCGUGCCAGUGAACUUGAAAAUCUGGGGUUUCCUGCCCCAUAUGUUGACUUGAAGUGACUUGGUUAUUUUAUUGAUUUUCGUGGAUUUUCGAGAUGGAUAUCAUCCAAACACCUAAGUGUUACAAUGGCGUUAAGUUCGCUAAGUCCGUCGAACAUGCUCGGCGAGCUUGGUCGGCUCGCGAAUUGGUUGAAAGGCGACUGUAUGACGGAUCAGGAGUAUGCUGGGCUUGCGGUCACUGAAAAGUUGGAGAAUGUCCAGCUGAUGGACAAGUACAACCUGAGGAACCCAUCCAAGGGCACGCUGUACUUCGCCACCACGCACCUCAUCUUCGUCGACCAUGAGAUGAAGAAAGAAACUUGGAUCCUCCUAAUGCACAUAUCGUCAGUAGACCGUCUACCGAUCACGACCACAGGCUCCCCUCUACUCGUCCGGACGAAGACAUUCCAGUCUGUCUUGUUCGUCAUACCACGAGAACGAGACUGCCAUGAAAUGCAUCAGACAUUACUACGGCUUAGUCAACCAGUGCACAUCGACGAGCUGUAUUGUUUCCACUACAAGUCCACGCCCGAAGACCUGCCCAAGUCGGCGGGCUGGAACUUCUUCGAUAUUCAGACGGAGUUUCAGCGGAUGAAUGUGCCUAACGAACAGUGGGUGCUCUGCACAGCCAACAAGGAUUAUGAGCUGUGCGACACGUAUCCCAGUGAGAUCUACGUGCCCGCGCGCGCGUCCACCGCCGUGCUGCUGGGCAGCGCCAGCUUCCGCUCGCGCGGCCGGCUGCCGGCGCUGGCCUACCUGCACCACAACAAGGCGGCUAUUGCGCGCUGCAGCCAACCGCUGAGUGGAUUCUCGGCUAGGUGUAUGGAAGACGAACAGAUGCUCGAUCUCAUCAGGAGAGCGAAUCCAAACUGCGGGUACAUGUACGUCGUCGACACUAGGCCCAGGAUAAACGCGAUGGUGAACCGCGCGGCAGGCAAGGGUUACGAAAACGAGGCUUUCUAUGAAAACAUCAAGUUCCAGUUCAUGGGCAUCGGCAACAUACAUGUCAUGAGAAAAAGUCUACAAAAGCUUGUAGAAACUUGUGAACAGAAUUCCCCGACUAUGUCCUCAUUCCUUAGCGGCUUAGAAUCAUCGGGAUGGCUCAAACAUAUCAAAUCAAUUUUAGACACAUCAUGGUGGAUAGCGGGCGCCAUACAAUCCGGCGUGUCUGUGUGCGUCCAUUGCAGCGACGGCUGGGAUCGCACCGCCCAAGCCUGUUCCCUGGCCGCACUCAUGUUGGAGCCCCACUACAGAACCAUCAACGGGUACCAGGCCCUAAUAGAAAAGGACUGGCUGUCGUUCGGGCACAAGUUCUCCGCCCGCUGCGGGCACGCGGCGUGCGACGCGCGCGAGCGCUCGCCCGUGUUCACGCAGCUGCUGGACGCCACGUGGCAGCUGCUGCGGCAGUGCCCGGAGGCGUUCCAAUUCAACGAGCGGUUCCUGCUGACUCUCCACGACCACGCGCACGCCUGCCAGUACGGCACUUUUAUCGGCAACUGCCAGAAGGACCGACGGGAUCUUAGGUUAUCAGAGCGGACGUUUUCGCUGUGGGGCUACAUGGCGAACCAUCUCAACGAGUACAAGAACCCACUGUACAAUCCAAAAGCGCAUCCAGACGUGCUCAAACCGGAUCUUAGUGCGCAGAGUAUACGGUUCUGGCGAGGCAUGUACUGCCGGCACGAGAGCGGCGUGCACCCGCGCGAGCCGCUGGGCGACCUGCUGCCGGCCGCCGCCGAGCACUGCUCCGCGCUCGACCACCACAUCAACUACCUCGCCAAGAGAAUAACGACCUUCAAGAAUCUGCUCUCAGGAAAGAAAGACAAAAGCCAGGAGUCCACCGUGGUCAACUACCAGAACGGAAACAGUGACACCGUCGACAUAGAGACCAGGACUGAUCGACUCUCUCUAGACAACAAGUUAAUCUACGACGAGGGCUCAACGGUUAGUGAGUUAGAAUGUGCGAACCACGAUCACCCGCUGAAAGAUGCCGCCAAGCCCAGCAUCCCUCUCAUCACAGAGAAGAGCCACGACUCGAUCCCAGCGAGCCUGCCGCUCCUCGAACGUGAGAUCAGCUCAGUGGCUCUCGACUGGCGGAGUUUGAAGCACGUCACUGAGUGCAGCUGCUCUACGCCGCUCGACCACUUUAGUAGAAAGGUAAUACAACCUCUUGUUAAUGUCGAAAACCAGCUCUUUGAACGUGAGAUGAUGAAAUCAGCUCAGUGGCCCUUGACUGGGGGAGUUUAAAGCAUGUCUCUGAAUGUAGCUGUUCUACGCCGCUCGACCACUUUAGUAGAAAGGUGAUACACUCUUUUAACAAUAUCGAGAGCCGGCUCUUCGAACGUGAGAUCAGCUCAGUGGCUCUCGACUGAAGUUUGAAGCACGUAACUGAGUGCAGCUGCUCUACGCCACUCGACCACUUUAGUAGAAAGGUAAUACACCCUUUUAACAAUAUUGAGAGCCGGGUCUUCGAACGUGAGAUCAGCUCAGUGGCUCUCGACUGGCGGAGUUUGAAGCACGUCACUGAGUGCAGCUGCUCUACGCCGCUCGACCACUUUAGUAGAAAGGUAAUACACCCUUUUAACAAUAUUGAGAGCCGGGUCUUCGAACGUGAGAUCAGCUCAGUGGCUCUCGACUGGCGGAGUUUGAAGCACGUCACUGAGUGCAGCUGCUCUACGCCGCUCGACCACUUUAGUAGAAAGCACCACUGCUGGGGCUGCGGGCGCUGCGUGUGCACGCGCUGCGUGUGCGCGCGCGCGCCGCUGCCCGCGCUGGCCUCGCCGCGCGCCGCGCCGCUGUGCGCCGCCUGCGCGCCGCUGCACGCGCACACUGCUCAUUACUAGGUACUUACUAGACAAAAAUCUAAGUAAUCCACGUUUUAAUUUCAUCAGAAUGCUGCCUCUCAUUUAAAUCGGUGGGUUUUUGUUUAUUUGUAAGUCUUCAAUAGUGUUUUUUACGUGCCUGCGAUCAUAAGACAAAGAUCGUUCUAACCUCAAAAAUGAUACAAAAAAAACACUAUUGCCUGAGUAUUACAUUUUUUACUAGGAAAACUUAUACCGGACAUAAAUAUAUGUUAUUACCUACUUUAACGUUCAUGUGAAGUUUCAUGUUUUUCAGCAUGUUGUUUAAAAAAAGCGUUACUUCGAUUGUCCAGCGACGACUAAGUUAAACUUAUUCGCAAAGAUAAGUGUAGAGUACCUCUUCAAGUGGCAUAUGUCGUUUUUGAGUCAUUGGAAUUUAGAUUUUAUUUCAAUUAAUCAAAUUUGAAAUUGAUAUGACAUAAUCGGUCGGGAGUCGACCGCCUACCACUCCAAGGCAUACUAUUAAAAUAAUUUGUUUUUUUUUUUAACCUAGAAGACUUAUAAGGUCAGCCGGGGCAAUUGCAAAUACGGGACAAAUGUUACUCUAAAAAUACAAAAAAUGGUCUAGAGCUUGUACCAUUUCUAUAUGGGUAAAUUCUGUUUUAUGACUGGCGAACGUGUGUCGUGAGUACAAGUGCCUCUUCUAGCUCUAUACUCAGUUAUUUUUUUUAGAGUAUUUGCAUUUGUUGCUAUUGCCCUGGCUGACCUUAUUCAGCAUAAAAUUUAUAUCAGUAAUAAAUGACCACUAAGGUGCAUAAAGUGGAUUUAUAUCCGAAAUAAAAUUCUUUUAUUAUUAUAAAGUAGUCCAAUAUAUUGUGGGCGAACAUUUAACAAUUAAAAAACGUUUAUUUACCACAAAAGAUCUACUUGAGCUGUUAAAAUGGCGGUUACAAUAUUUUACACUGUAUCUUACGAAUCUUAGUGUCCCAUAUGUUUUUUAACCGGAGGCUAGCUCUCUAGUGUGCAAUUAUAUGUGUUCAUAUUUAAGUAAAUAAAUUUAUAUUCAGUGUGUUAGAGGUUAACUAUCUUCAUAAAUCCUUUCGUUUAAAAAAACUUAUACCUAAGACUGAAAUUAUUUGUCUAAAUCGUCAGUUAAAAACCAAAACCCACUGAUUGCAAAAAUAAUUAAAUAUAAAUCAACCUUGUUUCAAUAAUAGUGCGGUUCACUAUGGCUCUGAACGUAUAGUAGUAAUUAGUGAGUUUUAUUCUGACGUCAUUUUGGUUUGCAAUAUUAAGCCUUUACCAGGUCUUUACUUAUGUUCUAUUUGCAAAGAAUAAAACUGACAUUCGACUGUGUUUUGACUGUCAGGUAUGGAGUGUGGAUUUAAAAGGAGUGAAAUUUCUUAUCCUUGAACUGUUGCAAAAGUGUCCAGCUGUCAGCUAUAAAUAAUAGUUCCUAAUCUCUCCAGAGUAGCGCUAGAGUAGCUAAGAACCGACGCGUUAUUGACGGAGUGAAGUGCGCUGUCUAUCAUUUGAUUUUCUUUUCAAGUAUUCUAGGUAUUGUAGCGCCACCUAUUUAAUGUUUUUUGAUGACACUUUUUGGUACAUGAAGAUUUAAUUCCUUACCUCCACCUUCCGUACUGUCAGCCUGGUAAAGGGCUAAUCGCGAAUAUUUGGGCAAAUAAGGAAUGUGUUUACCUAAAUAUUUUAUAUCACUACUUCCUCUUUCAAUGUUCAAAGACAUAAAUCGUUGCCAAUCGUUUGCGUAGCGAACGAAACGGUAAUAUCUCUCUAUCACUCUUUCAUAUAAGUGCGACAGCGAGCCAUUAGCGUUUUAAUUUUACUUCAAACGAUUGGCAUCUUGGCUAGGCCCCCAGGUAUUUGAGCUAACGUCGGUAUAUUAUGCAUAUAAAACUAUGAAAAACUAGCUAUAUAGUUCAAACUAAUGGUUAAAGUGUGGUGAUCAAGUAGGUAUGUAUUGUUUAAUAUUGCUGUUAUUAAACAAAACAUACCGACGCUUAAGAAUCAAUACUGUCUAACUAACAUUUUUUACGUUUUUUACUUUUUAAUGCAGUUAGAUGCAGAAAAAGAUAACGAACAUAACUGCAUUAAAAGGUAAAAAAAACUUAAAAAAUGUUAGUUAGACAGUAUUGAUUCUUAAGCGUCGAUACCUACUUCAAUUAAUUUUACAUUCAAAUACAGAAGGAGUGAAGGUACAGUCAACAGUAAAAAUGUGUAUCAAAAAAUAUUUCUGACAGUAACUUGUUCUAGUGACAAAAAUUGAGUUAGACCAAGUGUAAGGCAGCGAAGUUAUUUUAAACGUCAAACGUGUAUGAAAUUAUGACGUGUAAAUAGCACUUGCAUAGUCUGGGCUAUCAAAAUGGCUGCCUACUUUGCUUGGUCUAACUCUAGUUUGCAAAUACCAAAUAGUAGAAAUUUCUUGCACACGGCGCAUGUACCCUGUGCAUACUGAGAUACGGGCUACAUGCUUUGAGCAACACCGGCUUCCGACACGUCGGAAGAGAGGAGCCCGAGCGAUAUCUUACCGUACAAAUCGUUCUGCCAGUUUUUGCGGGGAAACGUGCACACAGUCGUACCUUUCACUCACUACGUACCAAAUCCAAUCUGUAAUGACGACACAAAUACAUAGAAAAUGACAUAUGUCAAAGAAAACUCUUGCACACCUCGAACUCUUCUUGUGUACGGACGAGUUACAACUCGCACCGCGCUAUGCCCAGUUGGGCAUGUGCUGCGGCAGAGGGGAAAUAGUGCGAGUGCCGACUCCCUUCCCGGUGUUGCUCCAAGGCUACAUGCGUGAACAUGAUCAAGUUACAUACCAGUUAAUUCAAGUACAGAUGUGGGGUUUCCAAAAAGUUGGAAAAGUUUUCGAAAUUUUCAGGAAACAUUUAUUUUGAAAAUGUACAAUUUCAAUUCCUAUACUAAAAUAUGAGAGGUUACCGAAAUGUUUCCAAAUGGAAAUAUCACAAUUUUGGAAUCGUUUAGACGUCAUAUAAGUGCAGUCGCCUUCAGAUAUAUCGAAGCGGUCGAGGUGCUCAAAAAUAUCUGAACACACACUCUAACGCCUUGACAAUAGACGCGUGUUCAGAUAUUUAAGAGCUCCUCGGCCGCUCCGAUAUAUCUGAUGACGACUGUACGUGUAUGUAAAUGUUGCGGGUUCCUGUUGAUUGCUUGUCUUUUCUCGAACAUAAUAACCACGUGCUUCCCAGUGCAGUGUCGCAUUUCUUACUUAUGAAUUUUCCUAUUAUUAUUAUCGUAUUGUGUUUUGUAUUUUUAUUUUGUAAAGUUGUAUUUAAUUCCCUUUAUAAUUAAUAUUUAAGAAGUAAUGUAAUGUAUAUUAGAGAUCAAUUGUUAUGUAUAUAACUGUGAUGUUAAUAUUUAAUGAUAAAAUUAAUGAUGUAAUAAAAAAUAUGCUGGAA